GUCAGCACCCCGCACUAAAGUGACGGGGCUUCAUGCCCCACCAUUUUAGUUAGUUGCACCAGACUAUCAGCCUUAAACAAGCUGGGUUCACAUUAAGUGUUAAAGUUCUCACCUUGGGAUGCGUUGCUAGUUCCAAGCUCUGAAAUUGAGUAAUUAAACAGUUUUACGAGGGGUAAGACAGUGUUGCUUGAAGAGUACCGGAUGUGAACAGAGUCGAAGCUAACAUCAC
rfam:Scytonema hofmannii PCC 7110 genomic scaffold Scaffold1, whole genome shotgun sequence.